rnacentral:rRNA from 1 species
CCUACGGGCGGCAGCAGUGGGGAAUAUUGGACAAUGGGGGCAACCCUGAUCCAGCCAUGCCGCGUGUGUGAAGAAGGCCCUCGGGUUGUAAAGCACUUUCAGUGAGGAAGAACGCCUGGUGGUUAAUACCCAUCAGGAAAGACAUCACUCACAGAAGAAGCACCGGCUAACUCCGUGCCAGCAGCCGCGGUAAUACGGAGGGUGCGAGCGUUAAUCGGAAUUACUGGGCGUAAAGCGCGCGUAGGUGGCUUGAUAAGCCGGUUGUGAAAGCCCCGGGCUCAACCUGGGAACGGCAUCCGGAACUGUCAAGCUAGAGUGCAGGAGAGGAAGGUAGAAUUCCCGGUGUAGCGGUGAAAUGCGUAGAGAUCGGGAGGAAUACUAGUGGCGAAGGCGACCUUCUGGACUGACACUGACACUGAGGUGCGAAAGCGUGGGUAGCAAACAGGAUUAGAUACCCUGGUAGUC